rnacentral:lncRNA from 1 species
UUGGUUGGAACUCCUCUUUGUAAGUGUUGAAAACAUAUUGUAAUGUGUAACGGGGAGACACAUACAUCAUGAAGUCAUGGUGAAUUUUUGAACAAGCAGCUAUGACAUGUGAACAAGGGUAAUGUAAUGCCUGAAAAUCACCACAAUCACACCAUUGUUUGUCAAGGUCUACCAUGAAUGUUCUUGUUGGUCGGCCGCUUGGUGGACGAACCAGCUUCUGAACACUGAAAAGACUAUGUCCCCGAUUGUGAAUGUAUACUUGAUGAGUAUUUGAUAUCGCUCGUUGUUUGGCAAGAUUAUCCAUGACUACAUCUGACUAAACUUUACCAGAUGCCAUCAUUGCUUGGGGCUUACUCCCUCUAUUUACGAAGAGUUCAGUAGAUCUGUAAUAGGUUGCCUGGACAAUUGGCGUGAUUGGAAGAUUGCGCACCCCUUUUA